AGGCGAUGUUUCGGACAGUCAUUAGUCUAAAGGUUGCAGCGAUCCCGCACCGCCAUCUUUAUAAGUCAUGAUGUUCUUCCAUGAUCUUCAACCACCACCAUAACUGCCGGGUAACAGAAGCUAUUAUCAUCACCUUUUGCAGCAUUUUGAAAACAUCCAUUCAGAAAAGUGUAUAAAUCUGAAGUGAUUGGUCACAAAACAGACACGCCCAUUAAACCCCACCCACCCAGGUGAAGAAACAGAAUGUUGCCAGCAUCCCUGAAGCCUUCCCUACCCCCAUUCACUAUCCUCUUCCCCAAGGGUAACCCCAUCCUGACUUCCAACACCAUAGCUUAGUUUUGCCUGGAUUUCGUAUGUGUGUGUUUACAUAAAUAAAAUCAU